UCUGCAAAAACAACCAGCCGUGUUAAAUUACUCAUGUUUAUUUAUAACAGACCUUCAGCCAAUACAGUACAAAACUUACAGUAGUAUAUCUCCAUUACACAAAUAUUUACUUACAAUAUAUUACAUAUACAAAAUGCUUUGCAGUAAGUCUCAAAAGCUAGUUUAACUCCCCUUAAGAUAGGAGAAAAACUCUUAAAAAAACAGGGAGGGGGGGACCAGGGAAAGAGGGGAGGUGAGGGGGCCAGGGCCAAAGGAAACACGGAACAGGCUACAGAGGAAACCCUGGGAGAGGAAGAAGAGAGGUGGUAUUGCACUUGCUUCUGUGUUCUGUCUCUUUUUUUUUUGUUCUUCAUAACUUCUGAUUAAAAAUAUAUCUAUGUAUAUAUAUUAUGUACACAAGGAAAGAAGCUGCCAGAAGUAUUACAAAAUCCCACCCGCAGCUUGGACACUGACACACACACAAAAACAAAACGUCUGGAAAAGUGUUUUUUUAGAAAUUCUUUUUUUAUUUAUUUUUUGUGUGAUGUUGGUUUUCAAUAGCAAUAUAAAAGGAAACACCUCUUUUCUCCACAUGGGUUUCAGUGUGUGUGUGUGUGUGUGUGUGUGUGUGUGUGUGUGUGUGUGUGUGGUUUUUUUUCUUUUUUCUUUUUAUGCAAAAGGAGCUGGGAGAGAGCAUAAGGAUGUUUGAGGUUCCAGAGCUGGAAGGCUCUGAAAAGUGGGAUUUUGUACCUAAGACCCUGGUUAAAGUGCAGUGGUGGUCUGGAGCGAGGCAGGACGCCCCCCUCUCCUCCCUAGCACCCGGUCUUGCCCUUCCAGCCUCUGCUCUCGCGGGCACGGAGCUGCCUCAGGGCACAGUCCUUCAUGUUCGGGAGGUGGCAGGUGCCAAGGCUGACUAGAGGAGGGGAUGGGGCACCCUAAGGCUCUGAUACCCCACAAGGGGGACUAGUCCUCAUGAGGUAUCAUGGAAUACACAGCAGACACAGAGUGGGAGGGGAAGGUCUGGGAGCGGGCUCAGGAACCAGAGCAGUUCAGGAGCAGCCAGAUGUUAACCUCGGCUGCGCUGCCGUCGAGCAGACCCCUCCGUCCUCAGGGCCGCUCUCCUCUGAGUUCACCCCCGCGUGCUCUGCCCCUGGCAGCGCGCAGCCUGUUUAUUGCUACAUUGUCAGGGAGGAGCAGUCACCCGAGAGGGCUCUGCCCGCCCGCCUGGUUCUCUGGGGAAACCACGUAACGGGAGGAGAAGGUGGAGGAGGAGGAGUGCUGUCCCUUCCCGGCGGGACACCCCCGACCGACCGGGAGGAGGAAGUAGGAGAGGCCCGCGCGCCAGCAGGAGAGGACGCGGAGCGAGCUGGAAGGGGAGGGGGAGGACCGAGAGUUGUAACUCGUGAGGUGUUAUGUUUGGUUUUCACUUUUUUUCCGUUAAACAUAGAAAAACAGCCUUUGGUUUGAAUCUCAAGGAAGCAGAGAGCCGGGCGGCGGCGGCCGCGGCAGGGAGCUCUGCGGAGGGCCGCCUGCCCCGCGCAGCCGAGGGGUCCCCAGGGAAGCUGCGGCGAGCGGCGGCCCGGGAGGGGCGGCGGGGCGCACGAGCCUGGCUCAUCCCGGGAGGGUUUUUGGUUGCACUGAGAAGACGCACCCUUCUCUUCCUGCCGCGGGUGGCAAGGACAGGGCCCGUGGUCCGGGAACGGCGGCUCCGGCCGGGACGGGAGGAAGAAGGCGGCAGGAGGACGGGGCCGAGAGACCCUCGCCCAGGCAGGAGCCCGGCUUGUCGCGGGGCAGGGACUGGAGGCGCCGCGAGCCCGGGAAGGUCACCGGAGCGCAGAAGGCGGGAGCGCAGCGGGGUGCUAUCCACGCCUGCCCGGGCCCUGGCUCUUAGGCACCUGAGGCUCCCCGUGUGUCGGAGACAGACGGCUGCAGAAAUAGCCGGGGCCCCCGAGAAUAUAAAAUGGGGCACUCCGAGGAGAGGACAGCCGCCGCCGAGCCCGCGGCCGGCCGGACUAGAGUGCUGAUGGGGGCGGGGGGAGCUGCACCGCGGCCUACAGGGAGACCCUAGGGUAGCUUUGGGGAGCUCGGGAAGACCCUCAGUGCCACAGGGCCUAGGGAGAAUGCCUCCAGCUCCUCCUGUCUCCAGAGAGGAAAUGCUUCGUUCGAGAAUAGUGCAAGCUGCCUGCAGCGCGAGGGCGCGGGAGGGUCUCUGAAGCCAUGGCAGCCCAUGUGGAUGGUGAACAUGACAUGGUCCAGGAAGAGGAUGC